UACGAAGGGGGCUAGCGUUGCUCGGAAUCACUGGGCGUAAAGCGCACGUAGGCGGAUCUUUAAGUCAGGGGUGAAAUCCUGGAGCUCAACUCCAGAACUGCCUUUGAUACUGAAGAUCUUGAGUUCGGGAGAGGUGAGUGGAACUGCGAGUGUAGAGGUGAAAUUUGUAGAUAUUCGCAAGAACACCAGUGGCGAAGGCGGCUCACUGGCCCGAUACUGACGCUGAGGCACGAAAGCGUGGGGAGCAAACAGG
rnacentral:rRNA from 1 species